CCUAACGGGAGGCUGCAGUGGGGAAUAUUGGACAAUGGGGGCAACCCUGAUCCAGCCAUGCCGCGUGUGUGAAGAAGGCCCUCGGGUUGUAAAGCACUUUCAGUGAGGAAGAACGCCUGGUGGUUAAUACCCAUCAGGAAAGACAUCACUCACAGAAGAAGCACCGGCUAACUCCGUGCCAGCAGCCGCGGUAAUACGGAGGGUGCGAGCGUUAAUCGGAAUUACUGGGCGUAAAGCGCGCGUAGGUGGCUUGAUAAGCCGGUUGUGAAAGCCCCGGGCUCAACCUGGGAACGGCAUCCGGAACUGUCAAGCUAGAGUGCAGGAGAGGAAGGUAGAAUUCCCGGUGUAGCGGUGAAAUGCGUAGAGAUCGGGAGGAAUACCAGUGGCGAAGGCGGCCUUCUGGACUGACACUGACACUGAGGUGCGAAAGCGUGGGUAGCAAACAGGAUUAGAUACCCUGGUAGUC
rnacentral:rRNA from 1 species